CAAUAGCGUAUAUUAAAGUUGUUGCAGUUAAAAAGCUCGUAGUUGGACUUCUGCGGGUGGCGGCCGGUCGUGCUCGAAACGGGCGCGAACUUGGCGUGCUGCCCGCAUCUUUGGGGAGAUUGUGCGUGGCAUUAAGUUGUCGUGCAUGGGAUUCUCAUCAUUUACUGUGAAAAAAUUAGAGUGUUUAAAGCAGGCCUUUGCCUUGAAUACAUUAGCAUGGAAUAAUAAGAUAGGACCGUUGUCUAUUUUGUUGGUUUACAGAUGUCGGUAAUGAUUAAUAGGGAUAGUUGGGGGUAUUCGUAUUCAGUUGUCAGAGGUGAAAUUCUUGGAUUUUCGGAAGACGCACGACUGCGAAAGCAUUUACCAAGGAUGUUUUCAUUAA
rnacentral:rRNA from 1 species